ACUCUUUAGCGUUUGUAAGCAAAUUGCUCAGUCAGGUGUUUAGCUAGACUCAAAUUUAUUGAUUAGA
rnacentral:sRNA from 1 species